AAAACACAUUAUUAGUCCUCCUCGCCGAUCCACGAGCACGCAUCGAAUUCUGCCUAAUUGACGCUUCAUCUGUCCUCUGCCCGAUAAACGGUUCCAUCAUCACAAUCCGCCAAAAUUGCGCGGUUACAAUGCACAGUUGGAAGAUUCAUUUAUAGAACACAACAGGAACAAGCAGUUUCUUCGGGUUCGGAUUUGUAUUUAUAAUAGCAUCCAAUGAAAUAUUCUGUAUUUAUAAAUAAAUAAAGGAAAAAAUGAUGAUUUCUAAAUA